GAAAUGCGAUAAUUAAUGUGAAUUGCAGAAUUCAGUGAAUCAUCGAGUCUUUGAACGCACAUUGCACCCCCUGGUAUUCCGGGGGGUAUGCCUGUCCGAGCGUCAUUGCUGCCCUCAAGCACGGCUUGUGUGUUGGGUCGUCGUCCCCCCCCCCGGGGACGGGCCCGAAAGGCAGCGGCGGCACCGCGUCCGGUCCUCGAGCGUAUGGGGCUUUGUCACCCGCUCUUGUAGGCCCGGCCGGCGCUGGCCGACGCUGAAAAGCAACCAACUAUUUCUCCAGGUUGACCUCGGAUCAGGUAGGGAUACCCGCUGAACUUAAGC
rnacentral:misc_RNA from 1 species